GUUUGAUCAUGGCUCAGAUUGAACGCUGGCGGGAUGCUUUACAUGCAAGUCAGGCGGCAGCACGGACUCGGUCUGGUGGCGAGUGGCGAACGGGUGAGUAAUGUAUCGGAACGUGCCUAGUAGCGGGGGAUAACUACACGCGAAAGCGUAGCUAUGCACGCUACGCCCUUCGAGGAAAGCGGGGGACCUUCGGGCCUCGCACUAUUGAAGCUGGCCGAUCGGUUUAGCUAGUUGGUGGGGUAACGGCUCACCAAGGCGACGAUCCGUAGCUGGUUUGAGAGGACGACCAGCCACACUGGGACUGAGACGCUGGCCCAGACUCCUACGGGAAGCAGCGGUGGGGAAUUUUGGACAAUGGGGGAAACCUACAGUCAGCCAUCCCGCGUGUGCGAUGAAGGCCUUCGGGUUGUAAAGCACUUUUUGGCAGGAAAACGGCACGGGAUAAUACCCCGUGCAACUGACGUACCUGCAGAAUAAGCACCAAUACGUGCCAGCAGCCGCGGUAAUACGUAGGGUGCAAGCGUUAAUCGGAAUUACUGGGCGUAAAGCGUGCGCAGGCGGUUCGGAAGAAGAUGUACGAAAUCCCGACUUAACUUUGGAACUGCAUUUUUAACUACCGAGCUAGAGUGUGUCAGAGGGAGGUGGAAUUCCGCGUGUAGCAGUGAAAUGCGUAGAUAUGCGGAGGAACACCGAUAGCGAAGGCAGCCUCCUGGGAUAACACUGACGCUCAUGCACGAAAGCGUGGGAGCAAACAGGAUUAGAUACCCUGGUAGUCACGCCCUAAACGAUGUCAACUAGCUGGUAGGGCCUUCGGGCCUUGGUAGCGCAGCUAACGCGUGAAGUUGACCGCCUGGGAAAUUACGGUCGCAAGAUUAAAACUCAAAGGAAUUGACGGGGAUACACAAGCGGUGGAUGAUGUGGAUUAAUUCGAUGCAACGCGAAGAGCACUUACCUACCCUUGACAUGUCUGGAAUGCCGAAGAGAUUUGGCAGUGCUCGCAAGAGAACCGGAACACAGGUGCUGCAUGGCUGUCGUCAGCUCGUGUCGUGAGAUGUUGGGUUGCAACGAGCGCAGCCCUUCAGCCAUUAGUUGCUGAAAAGGGCAUACAAUACUCGGUU
rnacentral:misc_RNA from 1 species